CCCACCCAAACCUUCACCCCAUGUCAAGCCUCCAAUGCCUCCAAAAGUGAAACCUCCGCCCUACGUUAAACCCCCAGUAGUCCGGCCUCCACUGCCGCCUGUGGUCAAGCCGCCGCCCGUCGUCAAGCCGCCGCCCGUCGUCAAGCCACCGAUCGUGAAGCCACCACCCGUCGUCAAGCCGCCGCCUGUCGUGAAGCCACCGCCGGUGGUCAAGCCGCCGCCUGUAAAGCCACCACCCGUGGUCAAGCCGCCGCCUGUCGUUAAGCCGCCGCCCGUGGUCUACCCGCCUCCCAUCAUCACGCCGCCGGCGCCGCCUGUCGUUAAGCCACCACCCGUGGUCUACCCGCCUCCCAUCGUCACGCCGCCGGCGCCGCCUGUCGUGAAGCCACCACCCGUGGUCUACCCACCGCCCGUCGUCCCGCCGCCGGCGCCGGCGCCGGCGCCGCCUGUCGUGAAGCCACCACCCGUGGCCAAGCCACCGCCGCCGAAAGGCGAGGUGCCGUGCCCACCGCCACCGCCGCCUCCGACGCCGCCGGCGGCGAAGACGUGCCCGGUGGACGCGCUGAAGCUGGGUGCAUGCGUGGACUUGCUAGGGGGUUUGGUGCACAUUGGCAUC
rnacentral:lncRNA from 1 species